rnacentral:rRNA from 1 species
UACGUAGGGGGCAAGCGUUGUCCGGAAUUAUUGGGCGUAAAGAGCGUGUAGGCGGUCCGGUAAGUCAGCUGUGAAAGUCAAGGGCUCAACCCUUGAAUGCCGGUUGAUACUGUCGGGCUAGAGUCCGGAAGAGGCGAGUGGAAUUCCCGGUGUAGCAGUGAAAUGCGCAGAUAUCGGGAGGAACACCAAUGGCGAAGGCAGCUCGCUGGGACGGUACUGACGCUGAGACGCGAAAGCGUGGGGAGCGAACAGG